rnacentral:piRNA from 1 species
UGGGUUCUUAGUAUUUAGGGAUUUUC